rnacentral:rRNA from 1 species
AUUGAACGCUGGCGGCAGGCCUAACACAUGCAAGUCGAACGGUAACAGGAAGCAGCUUGCUGCUCCGCUGACGAGUGGCGGACGGGUGAGUAAUGUCUGGGAAACUGCCCGAUGGAGGGGGAUAACUACUGGAAACGGUAGCUAAUACCGCAUAACGUCGCAAGACCAAAGAGGGGGACCUUCGGGCCUCUUGCCAUCGGAUGUGCCCAGAUGGGAUUAGCUUGUUGGUGAGGUAACGGCUCACCAAGGCGACGAUCCCUAGCUGGUCUGAGAGGAUGACCAGCCACACUGGAACCGAGACACGGUCCAGACUCCUACGGGAGGCAGCAGUGGGGAAUAUUGCACAAUGGGCGCAAGCCUGAUGCAGCCAUGCCGCGUGUAUGAAGAAGGCCUUCGGGUUGUAAAGUACUUUCAGCGGGGAGGAAGGGGUUAAGGUUAAUAACCUUAGUCAUUGACGUUACCCGCAGAAGAAGCACCGGCUAACUCCGUGCCAGCAGCCGCGGUAAGAC